GGAGGGGGUGGUGAAGCCGCCUGGCAGGCCAUGAGUCUCAUGCUAUGCGGAUGAGAAGCACGUGGUUCCCCUGCAGCUUACUGUUAAGCCUAAUGGAAAAUACCAACAGCUGAGCUAAGUUGAUGGAACACUGGACAGCAAAGGGAAAAGAUGAAGGCAGCUUUGCAGAUUUUGCAGACUUAUCUGCAUGCCAGGGCUGUUUCUAGGAGCGGAUGGUAUAUUUCACACGCUUGGUUUACUGAUCAUUUUAAAGAGUCUUUUCUUAAGUCAAAACUUUACAGGAAAAAAACAUCAGUAUAUAAAGAACAUAAAUAAAAGAUUUAAUUUCCUUAUACCUUUCAUUAUAGCUAAUGAAAAGAAUAGUGGUGGUGGAAGUUAUAGUAAAUGUUUUCAUGAGAAAAGGUCAAUGACAACAAUAUCAAAUUCUCAUAAAAUCUUGUUUUAGUAAAUGAAACAAUGAAAUGAAAGAAGAUAUAAUGUCUGCUAUGUAGUAUUAUACAUCUGUAAGCCCUGUUGCAAAAAUAGUACAGGUCACCCUUUCUCAUCAGCUUGAAGUGACUAUUAAAACAUUCACAUAUUGUUUUUUCUCCUCUUCAAACAACACUGAAAGUGAAGGAAGUACAAGGUUUGAAAGAACAAUGCUCUUCACAGGUCCUUUGUUUUAAUAAUUAUACACAUAUACACACAUUCAUUUUCAUCAAUAACCUUUUAACUUUUAUGCUGGAAAAUUCAAUAUGAGCCUUUAACAAGAAAUUAGAUUUUACUUCUCUAUUUUUUGUAUGUAAGAACUGAAACCUAAUCUCUGUUGUUCCCUUCUAGUACUUUAUGAUUCAUUUUAUGCAUGUAGAAGAAAUGCACUACACUUAUUGUUAUAGAAAUUGCUACAUUGCUAUAGAUGCAUAAACUGUUGUAUAUGAAAUUACAUAAACAUUCAGUAUUUGUUUGUUUGUCCAAAAUAAGUGCCUUGUUGCCUGACAGAAAAAUGCACUGAAGUUAAUGGGGUGGACAAGCUUCAUUGCACUGAUGUCUUCUGGAUGUUGGGGAGCUUGUUUUUGCUGCAGUGUUAAUUAGCACUAAACCUCAGGUGGAGACCUGAGCUCAGAGAGGCGGUUUCCCCACACUUUCCACCUGCUUGAGGUUGUGGGUUGACAUUAAAUUGAUUCUGAAACACGUGAUUGUAAUUAAGCUGAAGUUAAAACUGUUCAUAAAAUACUGAACUUAGUCACUCUUCUAAUUGAAGUCCUAUU